rnacentral:rRNA from 1 species
AGAGUUUGAUCAUGGCUCAGGACGAACGCUGGCGGCGUGCCUAAUACAUGCAAGUCGAGCGAGCUUGCCUAGAUGAAUUUGGUGCUUGCACCAAAUGAAACUAGAUACAAGCGAGCGGCGGACGGGUGAGUAACACGUGGGUAACCUGCCCAAGAGACUGGGAUAACACCUGGAAACAGAUGCUAAUACCGGAUAACAACACUAGACGCAUGUCUAGAGUUUAAAAGAUGGUUCUGCUAUCACUCUUGGAUGGACCUGCGGUGCAUUAGCUAGUUGGUAAGGUAACGGCUUACCAAGGCAAUGAUGCAUAGCCGAGUUGAGAGACUGAUCGGCCACAUUGGGACUGAGACACGGCCCAAACUCCUACGGGAGGCAGCAGUAGGGAAUCUUCCACAAUGGACGCAAGUCUGAUGGAGCAACGCCGCGUGAGUGAAGAAGGGUUUCGGCUCGUAAAGCUCUGUUGGUAGUGAAGAAAGAUAGAGGUAGUAACUGGCCUUUAUUUGACGGUAAUUACUUAGAAAGUCACGGCUAACUACGUGCCAGCAGCCGCGGUAAUACGUAGGUGGCAAGCGUUGUCCGGAUUUAUUGGGCGUAAAGCGAGUGCAGGCGGUUCAAUAAGUCUGAUGUGAAAGCCUUCGGCUCAACCGGAGAAUUGCAUCAGAAACUGUUGAACUUGAGUGCAGAAGAGGAGAGUGGAACUCCAUGUGUAGCGGUGGAAUGCGUAGAUAUAUGGAAGAACACCAGUGGCGAAGGCGGCUCUCUGGUCUGCAACUGACGCUGAGGCUCGAAAGCAUGGGUAGCGAACAGGAUUAGAUACCCUGGUAGUCCAUGCCGUAAACGAUGAGUGCUAAGUGUUGGGAGGUUUCCGCCUCUCAGUGCUGCAGCUAACGCAUUAAGCACUCCGCCUGGGGAGUACGACCGCAAGGUUGAAACUCAAAGGAAUUGACGGGGGCCCGCACAAG